AUCUAACUGACGAGUUCGAAAUAGGAUGAAACACGUAUCUUAGAU
rfam:Schistosoma rodhaini strain Burundi genome assembly, scaffold: SROB_scaffold0013073